rnacentral:snoRNA from 1 species
CUAUGAUGAGAUACCAUAGCUGGCACCAGUCAUAUGCAAGAUGGGAUUUCGGUCUUCAUCUUCACUGCUGAUUAGCUUGUGGUCCGGGAACGCUACCCGUGAUCCCUGAA